AGCCACAGCCAUAUCACCCUGCAUCCCAAGAACGGUUACUCACUGGAGCUAAGUAGGCUGAGCCUGGUCAGUACCAGGAUAGGAGACCAGAUGAGAAAAUUAGGUUGCUGUUGAAA
rnacentral:rRNA from 1 species